UGGGGAAUAUUGCGCAAUGGGGGGAACCCUGACGCAGCCAUGCCGCGUGAAUGAAGAAGGCCUUAGGGUUGUAAAGUUCUUUCGGUAUUGAGGAAGGUUGAUGUGUUAAUAGCACAUCAAAUUGACGUUAAAUACAGAAGAAGCACCGGCUAACUCCGUGCCAGCAGCCGCGGUAAUACGGAGGGUGCGAGCGUUAAUCGGAAUAACUGGGCGUAAAGGGCACGCAGGCGGUUAUUUAAGUGAGGUGUGAAAGCCCUGGGCUUAACCUAGGAAUUGCAUUUCAGACUGGGUAACUAGAGUACUUUAGGGAGGGGUAGAAUUCCGCGUGUAGCGGUGAAAUGCGUAGAGAUGUGGAGGAAUACCGAAGGCGAAGGCAGCCCCUUGGGAAUGUACUGACGCUCAUGUGCGAAAGCGUGGGGAGCAAACAGGAUUAGAUACCCUGGUAGUCCACGCUGUAAACGCUGUCGAUUUGGGGGUUGGGGUUUAACUCUGGCGCCCGUAGCUAACGUGAUAAAUCGACCGCCUGGGGAGUACGGCCGCAAGGUUA
rnacentral:rRNA from 1 species